CCGGAGCUUGCUCCACCGGAAAAAGANGAGUGGCGAACGGGUGAGUAACACGUGGGUAACCUGCCCAUCAGAAGGGGAUAACACUUGGAAACAGGUGCUAAUACCGUAUAACAAUCGAAACCGCAUGGUUUUGAUUUGAAAGGCGCUUUCGGGUGUCGCUGAUGGAUGGACCCGCGGUGCAUUAGCUAGUUGGUGAGGUAACGGCUCACCAAGGCCACGAUGCAUAGCCGACCUGAGAGGGUGAUCGGCCACAUUGGGACUGAGACACGGCCCAAACUCCUACGGGAGGCAGCAGUAGGGAAUCUUCGGCAAUGGACGAAAGUCUGACCGAGCAACGCCGCGUGAGUGAAGAAGGUUUUCGGAUCGUAAAACUCUGUUGUUAGAGAAGAACAAGGAUGAGAGUAACUGUUCAUCCCUUGACGGUAUCUAACCAGAAAGCCACGGCUAACUACGUGCCAGCAGCCGCGGUAAUACGUAGGUGGCAAGCGUUGUCCGGAUUUAUUGGGCGUAAAGCGAGCGCAGGCGGUUUCUUAAGUCUGAUGUGAAAGCCCCCGGCUCAACCGGGGAGGGUCAUUGGAAACUGGGAGACUUGAGUGCAGAAGAGGAGAGUGGAAUUCCAUGUGUAGCGGUGAAAUGCGUAGAUAUAUGGAGGAACACCAGUGGCGAAGGCGGCUCUCUGGUCUGUAACUGACGCUGAGGCUCGAAAGCGUG
rnacentral:rRNA from 1 species